AGUGAACGCUGGCGGUAGGCCUAACACAUGCAAGUCGAACGGCAGCACAGUAAGAGCUUGCUCUUACGGGUGGCGAGUGGCGGACGGGUGAGGAAUACAUCGGAAUCUACUUUUUCGUGGGGGAUAACGUAGGGAAACUUACGCUAAUACCGCAUACGACCUACGGGUGAAAGCAGGGGAUCUUCGGACCUUGCGCGAUUGAAUGAGCCGAUGUCGGAUUAGCUAGUUGGCGGGGUAAAGGCCCACCAAGGCGACGAUCCGUAGCUGGUCUGAGAGGAUGAUCAGCCACACUGGAACUGAGACACGGUCCAGACUCCUACGGGAGGCAGCAGUGGGGAAUAUUGGACAAUGGGCGCAAGCCUGAUCCAGCCAUACCGCGUGGGUGAAGAGGGCCUUCAGGUUGUAAAGCCCUUUUGUUGGGAAAGAAAAGCAGCAGGUUAAUACCCCGCUGUUCUGACGGUACCCAAAGAAUAAGCACCGGCUAACUUCGUG
rnacentral:rRNA from 1 species